rnacentral:rRNA from 1 species
AACGAACGCUGGCGGCAGGCCUAACACAUGCAAGUCGAGCGAAGCCUUCGGGCUUAGCGGCGGACGGGUGAGUAACGCGUGGGAACGUGCCCUUUGGUACGGAAUAGCCUCGGGAAACUGGGAGUAAUACCGUAUGUGGUCGAGAGACGAAAGAUUUAUCGCCAAAGGAUUGGCCCGCGUUGGAUUAGGUAGUUGGUGGGGUAAUGGCCUACCAAGCCGACGAUCCAUAGCUGGUUUGAGAGGAUGAUCAGCCACACUGGGACUGAGACACGGCCCAGACUCCUACGGGAGGCAGCAGUGGGGAAUCUUAGACAAUGGGGGAAACCCUGAUCUAGCCAUGCCGCGUGAUCGAUGAAGGCCUUAGGGUUGUAAAGAUCUUUCAGUGGGGAAGAUAAUGACUGUACCCACAGAAGAAGCCCCGGCUAACUCCGUGCCAGCAGCCGCAGUAAGAC